rnacentral:miRNA from 1 species
AAGAAGAGACUGAGUCAUCGAAU